GGGACCUGGGAUGGGAGACGCGUCUGGAGAGCCGGAGAGACCCGGGACAGCUCCGUCCAGCGGCCGCGAGGAGGGGAGACCUCCCAGAUUUUAAAAAGUGUAAUAGAAAUAACCAAGACACCGAACAAGUGUAUCUAACUUUCACGGCCCAGCAGAAUCUUCAGAGGUGGUUUCUGGGGGAUGCUGAGUCCACCCGUCUCUGCAGAUUGCUGGCAUUCUGAUUAAAGGCACCUGUCCUUUCUACAAUUUAUGCACCUCGACUUGCAACCAGUAAAUGAUGCAUUCUGGAAAGGCACAGCCACGUUAGACGGGACCAUAUCAGGCCUCCUCUCCUGCAACUUUUGCACCUGACUUUGACUAAGACCGGCACUACCAGACUGGGAUGAGAGGAUGACAUCUGAAGUAAACAGCUGACUGAAGUGUUGGCCAUGUAAAAGACAAACAAACAAAAAACAAGUGACCCUGAUUUGGUUCCCAAAGUUUGUUGGAGGAACUUUAUUGCUUUGUAUACAUCCUACUCCAUCACACCAAGAGGCACGUGAUGUCAGAUUGUCGUGUAAUUGGUGAUGUUAAGUUUGUAUGCUUUGUUGAGGUGGCUAGUUUGGGAACGUUAAAGCACCAAGUUUGAAACAUUUUGACUUACUGACAUCCUGGUUAUAUCUAAAAAGUAAAAUACCAGAGUGACCUGUGAUCAUCAGCAUGAAAGAAACAAUACAGGCACUGUAGAGAAACUUGUGGGCAUCUGAUUAAAGAAGAGAUCCAGGGCAACAACACCAAAGGGAUAAGCCAUCUCAUGUGACACCAUCUCACCUGGUAUCUGAGUCCCUUUAAGAAGAAAGAGUCAAAUCCAGAUUGUGGGGCAUUCCUGCACGGCAGCUGGCCUGGACGUUUCAAAAAUGCCAAUGUCUUGAAUGAACACACACCCCCAAAUCGGACAAAUUAAAGAUUAAAGGAUUAAAGGAUAAUAAAGAGGCAUGAAAAUAAAUGCAGUUCCUCCCCAGGUGGGCCUCUCUACAGGGCUGCUUGAGUGUCCUUACGACAUGCUAGCUGGCUUCUCCCAGAGCGGGUGAUACGAGAGAGAAUAAAAGGUCUCUUAUGACUUUGCCAUUGAGGUAACAUACUGUCAUUUCCACAACCUUCUACUGGUUUCAUAAAUCGGCCCUGUUCAGAGCCGGAGGAGAACACACAGGGACGUGAGCAUCACAGGAGGAGGAUCACGGACGGCCAUCGUGGACGCUGGCUAUCACAGCACCUACCUCGCAGGGUUGUCAUGGGGAUCAAACGCAUCACCAUAUGGAAGGGAUUCCAGACCCACGCUCUGUAUACUGUAAGGGCUCAUAAACGUUACCUUUUGUUAUUAUUGGCCCAGAGGGAAGCGGUUUCACUUUCUUCAGCUACUUCACUGUUAUUGUAACCAAAAGUGGGUCCAGCUGCUCACCACUCAAAAACCAAUAAAGAGGCAA